rnacentral:ncRNA from 1 species
AAUAUAAAUCGGCAAAGUAGGGGAAAUCCUAUGACGCAAAACUAUAGGGUCUUUAAAAUGACAGCCAGUUGCAGUU